CAAUCCCUCACCCUCCGCCACCACUCUCUCCCUUGGGAUCCUCCUAGAUCCCUUCCUCAUCUCCUCCCGCAGCAACCACCGAUCCACCUCGUCUUUAGUGCCAGGCCAACCAGCGCCCGAGCCCGAGCUCCACUCGAUCCCUCUCCUUCCUGGUGACAUGGACAUGCCGCCGCCUGUAGCUUCCAUGCCAGCCGACCACGACCAGCUCCGUCAGGCCGGCCUCGCCCCAUGCCUUACCUCCUUCCUUUUCUUUCUCCCUCUCUCUUUUCUUACCUCUCUCCUCGUCAUGACAGGAGCAGACAUGGCGCCCGAGCGCCUCGAGUUCGUCAGCCCGUCAGAUGGAUUCAGCUCGCGCCCCUCUCUCUAGACCUGCUGGAAACAUGGAGCCCAAAGCCAUGGCCGCGCCUCCCGUUUUCCUCGACCCCGGCGUUGCCAAGUUCCUCGUCGUCGGACGCCGACGCCCCGCCUCAAGCCACUGCCGCUGGUCACUGAGGCCACCCUGACCUCGACCUGGACCGCUCCAGCGACCACGCCCGUUGACGCUGUCGCUCCGCGAGUCACUGGUCCUCGCCGGAUUUCGCUGCCAGGUCCAUGCCGCCCUUGCCUCCACUCCGUCAGCACGCGCCACCGGAGCCCUGAUUUGCUACAGCCCCAAGCGCCUCAGCUCUGCACCCGCCCUGAUGGCCUCCUCUAUCCCGCUAUCUUCUCCCAUGGAUCCCUCCUUCUCCUUGCGUCGAGAACCAGCGCUCCAGGGCCGGCCUUCUGCUGUUCGUCCUUGUUGGCUCUCGCAACACCGGCGCUGCCGGCAGCCGCGCCGCUCGAUCCACCUCACCGACGACAGCACUAGCAGGUCCCCGCCAUGGAUGCAGGAGCACGAGCUCCAUCCUCCUCGUUGCACGCAUCGCCCGUCGGAGUCGCCCCAGUCGCCGCCUCGCCAAGCUCCGUCGCCGCCAGUGACCUUCGCGUCGAGGUGCCGGAGUUCACGCCCCCCUGCACCUGCAUCGCGCCUCUGCCGUCCUCUGCAUCGAAGCAGUUGUAGAGGAGGAGGAGUGCCUCGAACCCCCUUGUAUCGCCCGCGUUGACCGCGCCAGCGCGUGGGCCGCGCUAGGCCCAGCGCCCCUUCCGACCUGCUGCUUCCUCCUCCACCCACCGGGCCAGGCCCACUGGUUGCAGGUGCCGAGGAUACCAUGCAGGUGACGCAACCGAGCUCAAGGAGGAGCUCGAUGAAGAUCGCGUCCGUUGUCUUGUUUUGUUUCCUGUUGAUUAGUAGUGGAGCCCAGUCGGGGCGAUCGGGGAUCUAGCAAUUGGGGUUUUCUUCUUUUAUUUGGUUCCGUAGUCGGGCCUUGAUU